rnacentral:rRNA from 1 species
AAGGAACUCGGCAAAUUAUCCUCAUAAGUUCGACGACAAGAGGAACCAUUUAUAAGUAGUUAAUAACUCCAUUGAAUUUUAUUAAUCUCUUAUGUGGUGGCACAAAAUCGGAAGCCCCGACUGUUUACUAAAAACACAGCUAUCUGCAACGAUGUAAAUCAUAGUAUAGGUAGUGAGGUUUGCCCGAUGCCAUUAAUAUAAGAGAAGUGAUGGGUAACUGUUAAUUAUCGAAAAUCUGGUUAAUAGCGGUCUUAACUAUGAGGAUCCUAAGGUAGCAAAAUAAAUUGGCCAUUAAAUGUGGUCCGGUAUCAAUAAUUUAACGAUGGCUUCACUGUCUCUACAACUUGCUCAGUGAAAUUGAAUUACCCGUGCAGAUGCGGGUUGCCACCAGGGGGACGGGAAGACCCUAUGCAGCUUCUACUG